AGAGUUUGAUCCUGGCUCAGAACGAACGCUGGCGGCAGGCCUAACACAUGCAAGUCGAACGCUCCAGCAAUGGAGAGUGGCAGACGGGUGAGUAACACGUGGGAACCUUCCCUUUGGUUCGGAAUAGCCCAGGGAAACUUGGGGUAAUACCGGAUAAGCCCUUACGGGGAAAGAUUUAUCGCCGAAGGAUGGGCCCGCGUCGGAUUAGCUAGUUGGUGGGGUAACGGCCUACCAAGGCGACGAUCCGUAGCUGGUCUGAGAGGAUGAUCAGCCACACUGGGACUGAGACACGGCCCAGACUCCUACGGGAGGCAGCAGUGGGGAAUAUUGGACAAUGGGCGCAAGCCUGAUCCAGCCAUGCCGCGUGAGUGACGAAGGUCUUCGGAUUGUAAAGCUCUUUUGGCGGGGACGAUAAUGACGGUACCCGCAGAAUAGCCCCGCUCCCC
rnacentral:rRNA from 1 species